rnacentral:rRNA from 1 species
ACGUAGGUGGCAAGCGUUGUCCGGAAUUAUUGGGCGUAAAGCGCGCGCAGGCGGUUUCUUAAGUCUGAUGUGAAAGCCCACGGCUCAACCGUGGAGGGUCAUUGGAAACUGGGAAACUUGAGUGCAGAAGAGGAGAGUGGAAUUCCACGUGUAGCGGUGAAAUGCGUAGAGAUGUGGAGGAACACCAGUGGCGAAGGCGACUCUCUGGUCUGUAACUGACGCUGAGGCGCGAAAGCGUGGGUAGCGAACAGGA